UGGGCCUGGCCCAGUGGCGGGUCCUGGGGACGUGGCAGAGGCCGGCAGACUUUCAGAAGGUGAUGGAUGGGAUAUUCUGAGAGUUGGAAGGCGGGCUUUAGCACAGAGAGCCACUGCAACAUUUGAAGAUUCUGGUGAUGAUGCUGACUGCCUGGCCACCUAAGAGGAAGAAAGGACUUUUUGGUUGGCGGGACACAGAUACUGGCCCUUCAAGGCAGAAUUCAGGCGAUGGGUGAGUCCCUGUGACAGGUAAGUGACCUUGGAAUCUUUCCACACUUGAGAGGUCUGCCUCAAGCAAGAGGAAGACCCAGGUUUCCUGGUUGUAGUCCUCUUUUCUUGAGCACUGGAUUCCAUUA
rnacentral:lncRNA from 1 species